CGUAGUUGAUCCUGGCUCAGAGUGAACGCUGGCGGCAGGCCUAAUACAUGCAAGUCGAACGGCAGCACAGCAGAGCUUGCUCUGUGGGUGGCGAGUGGCGGACGGGUGAGGAAUACGUGGGAAUCUGCCCAGUCGUGGGGGAUAACGUAGGGAAACUUACGCUAAUACCGCAUGCGCCCUUCGGGGGAAAGCCGGGGACCUUCGGGCCUGGCGCGAUUGGAUGAGCCCACGUCGGAUUAGCUAGUUGGCGGGGUAAAGGCCCACCAAGGCGACGAUCCGUAGCUGGUCUGAGAGGAUGAUCAGCCACACUGGAACUGAGACACGGUCCAGACUCCUACGGGAGGCAGCAGUAGGGAAUACUGGACAAUGGGCGCAAGCCUGAUCCAGCCAUGCCGCGUGAGUGAAGAAGGCCCUCGGGUUGUAAAGCUCUUUUGUCCGGAAAGAAAAGCGCCGGGUUAAUACCCUGGUGUCCUGACGGUACCGGAAGAAUAAGCACCGGCUAACUUCGUG
rnacentral:rRNA from 1 species